GACGAACGCUGGCGGCGUGCUUAACACAUGCAAGUUGAACGGAAAGGCCCUGCUUUUGUGGGGUGCUCGAGUGGCGAACGGGUGAGUAACACGUGAGUAACCUGCCCUUGACUUUGGGAUAACUUCAGGAAACUGGGGCUAAUACCGGAUAGGAGCUCCUGCUGCAUGGUGGGGGUUGGAAAGUUUCGGCGGUUGGGGAUGGACUCGCGGCUUAUCAGCUUGUUGGUGGGGUAGUGGCUUACCAAGGCUUUGACGGGUAGCCGGCCUGAGAGGGUGACCGGCCAAAUUGGGACUGAGAUACGGCCCAGACUCCUACGGGAGGCAGCAGUGGGGAAUAUUGCACAAUGGGCGGAAGCCUGAUGCAGCAACGCCGCGUGCGGGAUGACGGCCUUCGGGUUGUAAACCGCUUUCGCCUGUGACGAAGCGUGAGGGACGGUAAUGGGUAAAGAAGCACCGGCUAACUACGUG
rnacentral:rRNA from 1 species